rnacentral:rRNA from 1 species
UUCCGGUUGAUCCUGCCGGAGGCUACCGCUAUUGGAGUCCGACUAAGACAUGCGAGUCGAGAGCUUUCGGAGCUCGGCAUACUGCUCAGUAACACGUGGGUAACCUGCCCUAUGCUGGGGGAUAACCUCGGGAAACUGAGAACAAUACCCCAUAGUCCACUACGCCUGGAACGGUGAGUGGAUAAAAGCCCCGGCGGCAUAGGAUGGGCCUGCGGCGUAUCAGGUAGUAGGGGGUGUAAAGUACCCUCUAGCCUUCGACGCGUACGGGUUGUGAGAGCAAUAGCCCGGAGAUGGAUUCUGAGACACGAAUCCAGGUCCUACGGGACGCAGCAGUCGCGAAACCUUGACAAUGCGGGAAACCGUGAUCAGGGGACUCCAAGUGCCAGGAGUAAGAUCCUGUGCUUUUCUUUUCUCUUCAAAGGAUUUGGAAUAAGAGGUGGGUAAGGACGGUGCCAGCCGCCGCGGUAAUACCGGCGCCUCGAGUGGUAGUCGAUUUUAUUGGGCCUAAAACGUCCGUCGCCUGUCUGGUGCAUUCGUGGGUAAAUCAACCCGCUCAACGGGUUGAAUUCUGCGAGCACGGCCAGACUAGGGACCGGGAGAGGUGUGGGGUACGCUCGGGGUAGGGGUAAAAUCCUGUCAUCCCGAGCGGACCACCUGUUGCGAAGGCGCCACACUAGAACGGAUCCGACGGUCAGGGACGAAGCCUAGGGGCACGAACCGGAUUAGAUACCCGGGUAGUCCUAGGUGUAAACGCUGUGGACUUGGUGUUGGGAACUCCCAGAGGGCUCUCAGUGCCGUAGCGAAGGUGAUAAGUCCACUGCCUGGGGAGUACGGUCGCAAGGCUGAAACUUAAAGGAAUUGGCGGGGGACACCGCAACCUGAGGAUUGUGCGGUUUAUUGGAUUCAACGCCGGGA